rnacentral:rRNA from 1 species
CGUGGGGAGCAAACAGGAUUAGAUACCUGGUAGUCACGCUGUAAACGAUGUCGAUUUGGAGGUUGUUCCCGUGAGGAGUGGCUUCCGGAGCUAACGCGUUAAAUCGACCGCUGGGGAGUACGGCCGCAAGGUUAAAACUCAAAUGAAUUGACGGGGGCCCGCACAGCGGUGGAGCAUGUGGUUUAAUUCGAUGCAACGCGAAGAACCUUACCUACUCUUGACAUCCAGAGAAUUUAGCAGAGAUGCUUUAGUGCCUUCGGGAACUCUGAGACAGGUGCUGCAUGGCUGUCGUCAGCUCGUGUUGUGAAAUGUUGGGUUAAGUCCCGCAACGAGCGCAACCCUUAUCCUUUGUUGCCAGCACAUUAUGGUGGGAACUCAAAGGAGACUGCCGGUGAUAAACCGGAGGAAGGUGGGGAUGACGUCAAGUCAUCAUGGCCCUUACGAGUAGGGCUACACACGUGCUACAAUGGCGUAUACAAAGAGAAGCGACCUCGCGAGAGCAAGCGGAACUCAUAAAGUACGUCGUAGUCCGGAUUGGAGUCUGCAACUCGACUCCAUGAAGUCGGAAUCGCUAGUAAUCGUAGAUCAGAAUGCUACGGUGAAUACGUUCCCGGGCCUUGUACACACCGCCCGUCACACCAUGGGAGUGGGUUGCAAAAGAAGUAGGUAGCUUAACCUUCGGGAGGGCGCUUACCACUUUGUGAUUCAUGACUGGGGUGAAGUCGUAACAAGGUAACCA